rnacentral:rRNA from 1 species
UGUAAUAUUAAUUAUUACAUAUGCUUCUUUUUCUUAAUUUUUUUGAGGAUAAGCUCAGAAAAAAGUUAAGAUUUUUUUAGUUAAAAUUAUUAUGUGGGCUUAAAAUUGGCCACCAUAAAAGUUUGUUAUAAAAUAGUAAUCUUAAUUUAAAAAAUAAAUAUAUUUUAAUCUAAACCCCUACGGAGAUAAAAACUUUAAUUAAAGUAGGUUUUAUACCUAUGCUAGGAUGAGUAUUAUAAAUCUAAUUACAAAAGAAAUUUACCUGUAUUUUCUUCAAAAAAUCUUUUUUAAAAAAUUAAUUGAUUAGAAGGAACUCGGCAAGUUUAGUUGCUUCGCCUGUUUAUCAAAAACAUGGCUCUUUGCCUAUAUAAGUAUAAAGAGUCGAGCCUGCCCAGUGAGUUUUUCAACGGCCGCGGUACUCUGACCGUGCAAAGGUAGCAUAAUCAUUUGCCUUAUAAUUGAAGGCUAGUAUGAAUGGUUUGACGAGAGCAGCACUGUCUCCUUUUUAUUUUCAAGAACUUAACUUUUAGGUGAAGAGGCCUAAAUUUUAUUGAAGGACAAGAAGACCCUGUCGAGCUUAAAAGACGUUAUAGAGGCUUAAUAUACUUUUAAAUAAAUUUUCUGUUAAGCUUUUUAGUUGGGGCGACUAAGGAACAAAAAAAGCUUCUUUCUAAUAAUAAACAAUCACGUUUAGAUCCGAUAGUAGGCGAUUAAAGGAAUUAGUUACCGCAGGGAUAACAGCAUAAUCUCUCUUGAGAGACCUAAUCGAAAGAGAGGGUUGUGACCUCGAUGUUGGACUAGAAUAU